CCGUGAUCAAUUUGAUAGAUUAUUAACGUUUAUUAAUACCUAAAGUUGGUUUAGAUAAGUAGUUUGAAGUGUUUUGUAAAAGUUUAUAGGCAACUUUUGUAAUUUUAAAAAGUGACGUUGCGUCUUGUAAAGGGGCAUUUUUCUGGAUCAGACCGGUCUUCAGCAAAUCACAUUUUGGGUAUACAAUGACGGAUUUAAUCGGGAAAAAGACCCAAUUGUGAUGUUUAUGUGACAUAUAGGAGUGCCAAGAAAGAAGCUCGUCAAAGCCUCAGUAGAACACACCUGACUAUCCUCCACCAGUCAUACAAGGAGAAUAGUCUAAUGCCUAUCAAAAAGAGAUCUGACCCAAGCAAGCACAGGUUACACAUGAAGCAUCAGGACUUGCAGCGAGUGGUGAACUUCAUCAACACCUAUGCAGAGGAUAAUGCAAUAGUAUUACCUGGACGCCAACCAGGACACAAACACUUUGGUCGGAAGCUGCUGCCAUGUCAUGUGACACAAACUGCAGUGUGGCAUCUCUACAAGGAAAUGAUGACAACACAUGAGGUAUGUGUAGUCGCGCUGUCUUCCUUCAAGAAUUUGUGGACCACCUGACUCCGUACUUUAGCCUAAUGUCACAGAUCAAGCAGUACCAGCACUUCAGGAGCAUGGUUUUGUUGUCGCCAAGGAGCGUUCAGACUCAGUUGGGACCAGGUUUCAGCUGCUCCCAGUCAUCAUGACUAUCUGCACUGCCUCUAUGCACAUUCACAUGACUUUCUCUUAACACACACAGCAUACGUUGCUGCUAUUAUAAAAAAUGCAUCCUGCUGCUCAGCCACUUUACUGCUUAUUGUAUGCAUAUAUGUAACUACCUUGUGUAUCACCAGUAUCUCUGACAUCGUUAUUGAUAUUGUUCUUGUACAUACUGUAUAGUUUGUUCUUUCUCUACUGGCAUUGACACUUAUUGUUAUUGGUUUUUAUAUAUUGACACUUUCUAUUUUUUAUAUUGCAAGUAACCAUUUGGUUGUACCGUUUACACUUUCUGUAGAGACCCAUCCACUUGGCAUUAUGUCGCUGGGGGUUAUAGAAUUUCUUUCACAUGACCCAUCAAGUUAGACAAGUGUGUCUGGGUGAGCGUCAUCUAAUAAUUCAAAAAUAUUUUUCUGUUUUUGAUAUUGCAACUUUGCAAAUAUGCAAGUACCCAUUUCAAUGUGCAGUUUACACCUUCAGUAUCCUGGGCACGUGAC
ensembl:lncRNA